rnacentral:lncRNA from 1 species
UUCACUUAAUUCUAACAACAGGAACGAGGGUACUGUGGGCUUCAUUUCAGAGAAGAGGAAACUGGGAUUUGGAGCUGAAGUAACUUGACCAAGAGCAGAUGGCAGGCACCCCUGAGCAUGAAAUAUAAAUUUCCCCCUGAGGAUUUAUGCCUUAUGUUUCUAGAGGGACAUAGAGAAGACAGAUAACUUAAAUACUUGGGUUCUGGAUUGGGGUUAUGUCAAACAUGCCACCGAAGAUUCUUGCACACGUUAUGCUGGUGUACAUAUAUGGAAGUGUCUUAAAUUUUGCUGCUGCUGUCUCUUUGGAUUUGGGCCAUUUUUAAGAGGUGUAACACUCACUGUGAAGUUCUGUAGCUCCAUUCUUCAAGUUAGCGAGACCACGAACCUGCCGGAAGGAACCAACUCCGGACAUAGCAGAUCAAGAAGGCAGUCAGAAGUGGGAGGUACAUUUAUGCCAAUAAGAAGAUGAGUUGUGAUUUGGAAAACCGUGGGGCAGGAGAGGGCAUGCAGCAUCGUCAGUCAUUCCUGCCAGUCAGCACCCUGAUUGAUGACCUACAAAGCCGCAGCAGCCAGGAGAACACAGGAGCACGCUAGAACGUCCAAUCCAAAGGAAAAACAACCUAUACUGUAAAGUGAUCGUGCUCAUCUCAGUGUGUGACAAGGAAGACGAUGGCACCUGGUUCCAGGAGCCGAACGUUUCCACAUCCCUGUGAGGUAGCUGUCUUCUGCACAUUCUUUCUGGGGCAUCAGCAUCCCACUGUCCUCAGAGGCUUUGAAGUUAGUCUGGUACAGAGGACGUCACAUGUACAGCAACAGGCAAAAAAACUUUUUAUGGUUCACUGAGGACAAUCAACUCCUUCACAAUCUAGAACCCGAAGAUUGGAUCCUCUGAGACAUCAGAGAAAGAUUGCUUUAGCCAUCCUCACUGCAGUAAAACUUCAGGACCUCGAGCCUUGGGUUCAUAAUCUCACAACUGAGAAGGGUCCCUCCACACUGUUGAACUGUACACCCAUUGGAACCCUUAAGGUAAAGCUAACCAGGGAAGUUUCUCCCUAAGAAGAAGAUGGCAUCCUUGAUGCAAAAAGCUUUUCCCAACAUCACAGAUCAAGACUUCUAUUAUCAUGAGACUCUUAUCUUUGAAUACUUUUCCCCUUGCUUAUGCCUGUAUGAACAAUACAAGUGGAAAAGGGGUCUG